GAUGAACGCUGGCGGCGUGCCUAAUACAUGCAAGUCGAGCGAACAGAUGAGGAGCUUGCUCCUCUGACGUUAGCGGCGGACGGGUGAGUAACACGUGUAUCACCUACCUAUCAGACGGGUAUCACUUCGGGAAACCGGAGCUAAUACCGGAUAAUCUAUUGAACCGCAUUGUUCAUUAGUGAAAGACGGUUUUGCUGUCACGUAUAGAUGGAUCCGCGCCGGAUUAGCUGGUUGGUAAGGUAACGGCUUACCAAGGCAACGAGGCGUAGACGACCUGAGGGGGGGAUCGGCGACAUGGGAGCUGGGACACGGACCAUACGACUGAGAUAGGGCGCAGACUGGUACCGGACGCAGUAGGCGAGAGCCUGGCGCAACAAGGGGGAGUGUGAGGUGACGGUGCUGGGAGCGGAAAACUGUGUUAUGAGGUGAGAACAAAUGUGUAAGGAACUGUGCAGGUAUUGACGGUACCUGGUCAGAAAGCCACGGCUAACUACGUG
rnacentral:rRNA from 1 species